rnacentral:tRNA from 3 species
CGGGGCGUAGCGUAGUGGCUAGCGCGCCUGCUUUGGGAGCAGGAGACCGGGAGUUCGAAUCUCCCCGCCCCGAC